GAUGAACGCUGGCGGCGUGCCUAAUACAUGCAAGUCGAGCGAACGGACGAGAAGCUUGCUUCUCUGAUGUUAGCGGCGGACGGGUGAGUAACACGUGGAUAACCUACCUAUAAGACUGGGAUAACUUCGGGAAACCGGAGCUAAUACCGGAUAAUAUUUUGAACCGCAUGGUUCAAAAGUGAAAGACGGUCUUGCUGUCACUUAUAGAUGGAUCCGCGCUGCAUUAGCUAGUUGGUAAGGUAACGGCUUACCAAGGCAACGAUGCAUAGCCGACCUGAGAGGGUGAUCGGACACACUGGAACUGAGACACGGCCCCGACUCCUACGGGAGGAAGCAGUAGGGAAUCUUACGCAAUGGGCGAAAGCCUGACGGAGCAACGCCGCGUGAGUGAUGAAGGUCUUCGGAUCGUAAAACUCUGUUAUUAGGGAAGAACAUAUGUGUAAGUAACUGUGCACAUCUUGACGGUACCUAAUCAGAAAGCCACGGCUAACUACGUG
rnacentral:rRNA from 1 species